AUUGAACGCUGGCGGCAUGCCUUACACAUGCAAGUCGGACGGCAGCACGGGUGCUUGCACCUGGUGGCGAGUGGCGAACGGGUGAGUAAUACAUCGGAACGUACCUUAUCGUGGGGGAUAACGCAGCGAAAGCUGUGCUAAUACCGCAUACGCCCUGAGGGGGAAAGCGGGGGAUCGAAAGACCUCGCGCGAUUAGAGCGGCCGAUGCCUGAUUAGCGUGUUGGUGGGGUAAAAGCCCACCAAGGCGACGCUCAGUAGCUGGUCUGAGAGGACGAUCAGCCACACUGGACUGAGACACGGCCCGGACUCCUACGGGAGGCAGCAGUGGGGAAUUUUGGACAAUGGGGGCAACCCUGAUCCAGCAAUGCCGCGUGAGUGAAGAAGGCCUUCGGGUUGUAAAGCUCUUUUGUCAGGGAAGAAACACCGGCUCUAACACAGUCCGGGAAUGACGGUACCUGAAGAAUAAGCACCGGCUAACUACGUGCCAGCCGCCGCGGUAA
rnacentral:rRNA from 1 species